CUACGGGAGGCUGCAGUGGGGAAUAUUGCACAAUGGGCGCAAGCCUGAUGCAGCCAUGCCGCGUGUAUGAAGAAGGCCUUCGGGUUGUAAAGUACUUUCAGCGGGGAGGAAGGGAGUAAAGUUAAUACCUUUGCUCAUUGACGUUACCCGCAGAAGAAGCACCGGCUAACUCCGUGCCAGCAGCCGCGGUAAUACGGAGGGUGCAAGCGUUAAUCGGAAUUACUGGGCGUAAAGCGCACGCAGGCGGUUUGUUAAGUCAGAUGUGAAAUCCCCGGGCUCAACCUGGGAACUGCAUCUGAUACUGGAAAGCUUGAGUCUCGUAGAGGGGGGUAGAAUUCCAGGUGUAGCGGUGAAAUGCGUAGAGAUCUGGAGGAAUACCGGUGGCGAAGGCGGCCCCCUGGACGAAGACUGACGCUCAGGUGCGAAGGCGUGGGGAGCAAACAGGAUUAGAUACCCUAGUAGUC
rnacentral:rRNA from 1 species